rnacentral:rRNA from 1 species
UACGUAGGUGGCGAGCGUUGUCCGGAUUUACUGGGCGUAAAGAGCGCGCAGGCGGUCGGUCAAGUCGCGUGUGAAAGCCCCCGGCUCAACUGGGGAGGGUCACGCGAUACUGAUCGACUCGAAGGCAGGAGAGGGAAGUGGGAUUCCCGGUGUAGUGGUGAAAUGCGUAGAUAUCGGGAGGAACACCAGUGGCGAAGGCGACUUCCUGGCCUGUUCUUGACGCUGAGGCGCGAAAGCUAGGGGAGCAAACGGG